GAUGAACGCUGGCUACAGGCUUAACACAUGCAAGUCGAGGGGAAACGGCAUUGAGUGCUUGCACUGAAUGGACGUCGACCGGCGCACGGGUGAGUAACGCGUAUCCAACCUUCCCGUUACUGCGGGAUAACCUGCCGAAAGGCAGACUAAUACCGCAUGUUCUUCGAUGACGGCAUCAGAUUCGAAGCAAAGAUCCGUCGGUAACGGAGGGGGAUGCGUCUGAUUAGCUUGUUGGCGGGGCGACGGCCCACCAAGGCGACGAUCAGUAGGGGUUCUGAGAGGAAGGUCCCCCACAUUGGAACUGAGACACGGUCCAAACUCCUACGGGAGGCAGCAGUGAGGAAUAUUGGUCAAUGGGCGGAAGCCUGAACCAGCCAAGUAGCGUGCAGGAUGACGGCCCUACGGGUUGUAAACUGCUUUUAUGCGGGGAUAAAGUGAGGGACGCGUCCCUUUUUGCAGGUACCGC
rnacentral:rRNA from 1 species